GAUGAACGCUAGCGGCAGGCCUAAUACAUGCAAGUCGAACGGUGUCUUCGGACAUAGUGGCGCACGGGUGCGUAACACGUAUGCAACCUACCUUACAUUGGGGGAUAGCCUUUCGAAAGUGAGAUUAAUACCGCAUAAGACAGUAGCUGGGCAUCCAGCAGCUGUUAAAGAUUUAUCGAUGUAAGCUGGGCAUGCGUCCAAUUAGCUAGUUGGUGAGGUAACGGCUCACCAAGGCGAUGAUUGGUAGGGGAACUGAGAGGUCAAGCCCCCACACUGGAACUGAGAUACGGGACAGACUCCUACGGGUGGCAGCAGUAGGGAAUAUUGGGCAAUGGACGCAAGUCUGACCCAGCCAUGCCGCGUGCAGGAUGAAGGCGUUAUGCGUUGUAAACUGCUUUUAUACAGGAAGAAACGACUCUUGCGAGAGGCAUUGACGGUACUGUAUGAAUAAGCACCGGCUAACUCCGUGCCAGCCGCCGCCGUAAUAC
rnacentral:rRNA from 1 species